rnacentral:rRNA from 1 species
UACGGAGGAUCCAAGCGUUAUCCGGAAUCAUUGGGUUUAAAGGGUCCGUAGGCGGGACAAUAAGUCAGUGGUGAAAGUCUGCAGCUCAACUGUAGAAUUGCCAUUGAUACUGUUGUUCUUGAGUGCUUGUGAAGUGGUUAGAAUGAGUAGUGUAGCGGUGAAAUGCAUAGAUAUUACUCAGAAUACCGAUUGCGAAGGCAGAUCACUAACAAUUCACUGACGCUGAUGGACGAAAGCGUAGGUAGCGAAC